AAGAAAGUCAAUGCAAGGGUGCAACAACAUUCGUAUUUAGAUGAAAUUGAAUGAACAUUUUAAUGUUGUUACAUAUAGACCUUCUCCACCUUAGAACCAUCAGCAAAAAAGUAAAGUCACCAUCCAGGAUGCAUGACAAUGUUUUGGAAAGAUUGUUAUGUCUAACCCAGUGUCUCACAAGCAAAGAGAUCCUGAGGCAAGGCGUGAUCAUCCAUCUUG